AGAGUUUGAUCAUGGCUCAGAACGAACGCUGGCGGCGUGCUUAACACAUGCAAGUCGAACGCGAAAGUUUUCUUCGGAAGACGAGUAGAGUGGCGCACGGGUGAGUAACGCGUAAGUAAUCUGCCCCGGCAUCUGGAAUAACUCACCGAAAGGUGUGCUAAUACCGGAUACGCUGGUAACAGGAAAGGUGGCCUCUGUAUAUGCUACCGUGCCGGGAGGAGCUUGCGUACCAUUAGCUAGUUGGUAGGGUAAUGGCCUACCAAGGCGACGAUGGUUAGCGGGUCUGAGAGGAUGAUCCGCCACACUGGAACUGAAACACGGACCAGACUCCUACGGGAGGCAACAGUGAGGAAUAUUGCGCAAUGGGGGAAACCCUGACGCAGCGACGCCGCGUGGAUGAUGAAGGCCUUCGGGUCGUAAAAUCCUGUCAGAUGGAAAGAAAUGCAGCAUGCCUAAUACGUGUGCUGUUUGACGGUACCAUCAAAGGAAGCACCGGCUAACUCCGUGCCAGCAGCCGCGGUAAUACGGAGGGUGCAAGCGUUGUUCGGAAUUACUGGGCGUAAAGGGCGCGUAGGCGGUUUGUUAAGUCAGAUGUGAAAGUCNNGGCUCAACCAUGGAAGUGCAUUUGAAACUGGCAGACUUGAGUACUGGAGGGGGUGGUGGAAUUCCCGGUGUAGAGGUGAAAUUCGUAGAUAUCGGGAGGAAUACCGGUGGCGAAGGCGACCACCUGGCCAGAUACUGACGCUGAGGUGCGAAAGCGUGGGGAGCAAACAGGAUUAGAUACCCUAGUAGUCC
rnacentral:rRNA from 1 species